rnacentral:lncRNA from 1 species
CGCUGAAGUAAUUUAUUAGCCUUUAUUGCCGAAAUAAUACGUGCCGGCCCAUUAGUACGGAUACCAUUUACCUCAAUUCUGUCCCCGUCUUCUGUCUGAAUACUAAACUUCUUUUUAUAACAAUCCAAUACCACUCCGUGCUCAGCCAACCAAUCCAUCCCCAGUAUUAUAUCAAAAUCUCCAAAUGGCAUAAUCAACAGGUCAAUAGGAAAAGUUUUAUUUUGUAUAAUUAACGG